GAUGAACGCUGGCGGUAUGCUUAACACAUGCAAGUCGAACGGACUCUUCGGAGUUAGUGGCGGACGGGUGAGUAACGCGUGAGAAUCUGGCUUUGGGUUCGGGACAACCACUGGAAACGGUGGCUAAUACCGGAUGUGCCGAGAGGUAAAAGAGAAAUUGCCUGAAGAUGAGCUCGCGUCUGAUUAGCUAGUUGGUGAGGUAAAGGCUCACCAAGGCAGCGAUCAGUAGCUGGCCUGAGAGGAUGACCAGCCACACUGGGACUGAGACACGGCCCAGACUCCUACGGGAGGCAGCAGUGGGGAAUUUUCCGCAAUGGGCGAAAGCCUGACGGAGCAAUACCGCGUGAGGGAAGAAGGCUCUUGGGUUGUAAACCUCUUUUCUUAGGGAAGAACAAAAUGACGGUACCUAAGGAAUCAGCAUCGGCUAACUCCGUG
rnacentral:rRNA from 1 species